rnacentral:rRNA from 1 species
AUGAUCAAAACUCCGGUGGUCUAAGAUGGACUCGCGUCCCAUUAGCUAGUUGGUAGGGUAACGGCCUACCAAGGCGACGAUGGGUAGCCGGCCUGAGAGGGUGAACGGCCACAUUGGAACUGAGAAACGGUCCAAACUCCUACGGGAGGCAGCAGUGGGGAAUAUUGCACAAUGGAGGGAACUCUGAUGCAGCGACGCCGCGUGAACGAAGAAGGCUUUCGAGUCGUAAAGUUCUUUUAUAUGGGAAGAUAAUGACGGUACCAUAAGAAAAAGCCCCGGCUAACUACGUGCCAGCAGCCGCGGUAAUACGUAGGGGGCUAGCGUUGUCCGGAAUCACUGGGCGUAAAGGGUUCGCAGGCGGAAAUGCAAGUCAGGUGUAAAAGGCAGUAGCUUAACUACUGUAAGCAUUUGAAACUGCAUAUCUUGAGAAGAGUAGAGGUAAGUGGAAUUUUUAGUGUAGCGGUGAAAUGCGUAGAUAUUAAAAAGAAUACCGGUGGCGAAGGCGACUUACUGGGCUCAUUCUGACGCUGAGGAACGAAAGCGUGGGUAGCAAACAGGAUUAGAUACCCUGGUAGUCCACGCUGUAAACGAUGAGUGCUAGGUGUCGGCGUAAGUCGGUGCCGCAGUUAACACAAUAAGCACUCCGCCUGGGGAGUACGUGCGCAAGCAUGAAACUCAAAGGAAUUGACGGGGACCCGCACAAGCAGCGGAGCAUGUGGUUUAAUUCGAAGCAACGCGAAGAACCUUACCAGGGCUUGACAUACUGAGGACAAGUAUAGAGAUAUACCGUCUUCUUCGGAAGCCUCAAUACAGGUGGUGCAUGGUUGUCGUCAGCUCGUGUCGUGAGAUGUUGGGUUAAGUCCCGCAACGAG